AGAGUUUGAUCAUGGCUCAGAGUGAACGCUGGCGGCGUGCCUAACACAUGCAAGUUGAACGCGAAAGUUUUCUUCGGAAAACGAGUAGAGUAGCAGACGGGUGAGUAAUGCAUAGGUAAUCUACCCUUGAGUGGGGGACAACUCGUCGAAAGAUGGGCUAAUCCCGCAUAAUAUUUCGAUUUAUAAUGGUUGAAAUCAAAGGGGGGGAUCCUUCGGGACCUCUCGCUUGAGGAUGAGCUUAUGUCCUAUUAGUUUGUUGGUAGGGUAAUGGCCUACCAAGACGAUGAUGGGUAGCCGAGCUGAGAGGCUGACCGGCCACACUGGAACUGAUACACGGUCCAGACUCCUACGGGAGGCAGCAGUGGGGAAUUUUGCGCAAUGGGCGAAAGCCUGACGCAGCGACGCCGCGUGAGGGAUGAAGGUCCUCGUGAUCGUAAACCUCUGUCAGGAAGGAUUAAAUGUAUAGUAGUUAAUAACUAUUAUGCUUGACUUAACUCCCAGAGGAAGCCCCGGCUAACUACGUGCCAGCAGCCGCGGUAAUACGUAGGGGGCAAGCGUUACUCGGAUUUAUUGGGCAA
rnacentral:rRNA from 1 species